rnacentral:sRNA from 1 species
CUGCAGCCCGGCUUGAGCGGAAAUCCUUUUUUGUGGCUGGAAAAGCGCUGGAAAAAAGAUUGGGAGCGGAAGACGGAAAAGCU